GAUGAACGCUAGCGGCAGGCCUAACACAUGCAAGUCGAGGGGUAGAACACUUCGGUGUUUGAGACCGGCGCACGGGUGCGUAACGCGUAUGCAAUCUACCUUGUACAGGGGAAUAGCCCAGAGAAAUUUGGAUUAAUGCCCCAUAGUAUAUAACCUUCGCAUGUUGGUUAUAUUAAAGUUCCAACGGUACAAGAUGAGCAUGCGUCCCAUUAGUUAGUUGGUAAGGUAACGGCUUACCAAGACGAUGAUGGGUAGGGGUCCUGAGAGGGAGAUCCCCCACACUGGUACUGAGAAACGGACCAGACUCCUACGGGAGGCAGCAGUGAGGAAUAUUGGUCAAUGGGCGCAAGCCUGAACCAGCCAUGCCGCGUGCAGGAAGACGGUCCUAUGGAUUGUAAACUGCUUUUAUACAGGAAGAAACAACUCUACGUGUAGAGUCUUGACGGUACUGUAGGAAUAAGGAUCGGCUAACUCCGUGCAGCCGCCGCCGUAAUAC
rnacentral:rRNA from 1 species